UACGUAGGGUGCGAGCGUUGUCCGGAAUUAUUGGGCGUAAAGAGCUCGUAGGCGGUCUGUCGCGUCGGUCGUGAAAACUUGGGGCUUAACCCUGAGCUUGCGGUCGAUACGGGCAUGACUGGAGUUCGGUAGGGGAGACUGGAAUUCCUGGUGUAGCGGUGAAAUACGUAGAUAUCAGGAGGAAUACCGGUGGCGAAGGCGGCCAUCUGGCCAAAUACUGACGCUGAGAUACGAAAGUGUGGGGAUCAAACAGG
rnacentral:rRNA from 1 species